rnacentral:tmRNA from 1 species
GGGGGCGAAAAGGUUUCGACGGGGAUAUGGAAACAGGAGUAGCGAGUCGUUGUGGUCAAGCAACGUUAAAAAAUGACACUAAAAAUAAACGCAGACGAUAAUUUAGCAUUAGCUGCUUAAUUAUAGCAGCUCGUCCUACCCAAGAAUCCCACGCCUUGGGAUAGGGCGCCAACUUAGUGGGGAACCGCGCCUAGCUUUGCUUCGGGCUAGGAACGGAAGUAAGAAGCUACUGAAGCUAGAAUCCUGUCAGUAGGAGUCUAGCGGAGGGAAUGUCAAAAUACUGACUGCGCUCGGAGAAACUCCUGUGGAAGUAUUUUCGGACGUGGGUUCGACUCCCACCGCCUCCACCA